rnacentral:rRNA from 1 species
UAGCAAGGAGGUCACACCUGUUCCCAUGCCGAACACAGAAGUUAAGCUCCUUAGCGUCGAUGGUAGUCGAACUUACGUUCCGCUAGAGUAGAAC